UGAAUACUUUGCAGCAUAUAUUUUUGAGGGUUGAGGAACCAGUUUCAGGAGGCUCUUUAUGUGCAUUCCUCUUCAGCACACACACUGGGGCGCAGAUAGACAAGUGGAAGGUCAAAGAGGAAGGUUUUGAAGUGAGAAGAGACAUCACCUGGGGAUCUAACUGUACACCCUCCAGUUGUAUGUCAGAGUUUAACACAUGGCAGGUGUAGGAAAGAUGCAUGGAUGGAGCAGAA
rnacentral:lncRNA from 1 species